rnacentral:rRNA from 1 species
GAGUACGUGAAACUGCUUAGAGGUUAAGCCCGAUGAACCUGAAUAUCCAUUAUGGAAAAUUCAAUAUUAAGAAAAUUAUAUAUAAAUAAUAUAAUUAAAAAAAUAUGCAAUUUUUCCAUAUAAGGACAUUGUAAUCUGUUAAUAAAAUAAAUGAAAUUUAUGAAAAAAUCUAUGACGAAAGUUUAUUCAAAUUGUUUAUCUUAAUUGAUAUUCAACAUAAAAUAAAUGUUUUAGAUAUAAUAAAUUAUUGACAGAUAUAAUUAUAUAAUGUGCUCAAAUUUAGAAAUAAAUUUUACAAUGAUAUUUAAAUCAAAUGAUAUAUAUAUUUAAUUGUUGGCACUUUUAUGAUUAACAAUGCGAUAGAUUCAGGAUACCUUCGGGACCCGUCUUGAAACACGGACCAAGGAGUCUAACAUAUGUGCAAGUCAUUGGGUAUUUUUAAUAAAACCCAAUGGCAUAAUUAACUUAACUUAAAAAUAUAAUAAUGGGAUUAAUUUAUUGAUUGUAAUGAGAUAUUUAUUCAAUCCCGGGGCGUUCUAUACAGUUAUGCAUAAUGAUAUUUAUAUUAUUUAUGUCUCUAACUAGAGCGUACCUUGAGCAUAUAUGCUGUGACCCGAAAG